AAAAAUAGAAAACUUCCUAAUGAAUACACGCUUUUUUACUUUCUUUAUCGACUUUCAAAAAUCUACAUUUUACCCUCUGAUAAUUUUAAGCUGAUAUAUUUAGUCCCCCUCAAUCAAGAUUCUAUUAUUAUUCCAUCAAUUUUUCAUAAUUUAUAUUAAAAAUAUCAUUAAAAAUGACAGAAAUAUAUUAAAAAUUAUUUUUUAAAAACAAGUGAGGGCAAUUUAGUUAUUUCAUCGUCUUUAUUAACGUCGCAAAUUUUUGAAAAUAUUUCUUAAAUCUUGAAGGGAGAAAAAGAGGGGUCUAAUUUAAUUUUUAUUUCAACACUUUUAAGAUAUUAGAGGGAAAAAGAAAAUUAUAAGUGCUUUUGAACCAAACAUAGCCAUAAUUGCAAACUAAAAUGUUCAAGAGGCUAGUUCUAGCAAUAUAUAUUUUAGUGAGUUAAUCGUACUAGGACAGGAGUAGUUCUAGGUUGGGUGACCCCUGAAAAUUUAGGGCGUCACAAUAAUUUUUAGGGUAAAUUGCACGUUUGGUCCUCAAACUAUGAGGUAGAUAAUAUUUUGGUUGGUCUUUAAAUUUUAAUCUGUUAUAAUUUUCGACUCGGACUUACAGAAUUAUCUUAAUCAAGUCCUACAAUCUAAUUUAGUAUACUAAAUAUUAACAUAUUACUAAUGUAAAAAUGAUACUGCGUCUUAAUUUUUGGCUCGUCAUUAAUUAUAAUACUGCUACAUCACUUCUACGUUAGUGAAGCAUUAAUAUUUAGUCAACUAAAUUAGGUAAUAGAAUUUGAUACCAUAAAUUAAAAUUUAAAAACUAAAGUGUCACCUGACUCAUAGUUUGGUUUUACCCUUAUUUAUAUUGGUUUUAUUCACUAAUUUUAUCUUAAC
rnacentral:lncRNA from 1 species